GUGGGGGAUAUUGCACAAUGGGGGAAACCCUGAUGCAGCAACGCCGCGUGAAGGAAGAAGGUCUUCGGAUUGUAAACUUUUGUCUUGCGGGACGAAUAAUGACGGUACCGCAGGAGGAAGCCACGGCUAACUACGUGCCAGCAGCCGCGGUAAUACGUAGGUGGCGAGCGUUGUCCGGAAUUACUGGGUGUAAAGGGUGCGUAGGCGGAUUUGCAAGUCAGGUGUGAAAACUAUCGGCUUAACCGGUAGCCUGCACUUGAAACUGUAAGUCUUGAGUGGUGAAGAGGUAAGCGGAAUUCCUAGUGUAGCGGUGAAAUGCGUAGAUAUUAGGAGGAACACCAGUGGCGAAGGCGGCUUACUGGGCACUAACUGACGCUGAGGCACGAAAGCAUGGGGAGCAAACAGGAUUAGAAACCCCAGUAGUCC
rnacentral:rRNA from 1 species